GAGAAGGAGCAGCAGGAGGAGCAGCAGGAGGAGAAGAGGAGACUGGAUUCAUGACAGACUCCUCUGAUUUAUCCCGUGGACAGUAACACGUGGGUCAGGUCCACGGUGGGUACCGAACGACGCGGCGCUCCGCCGGUGUAACACUAUCACAUGACGUCACAGACCCGACAGUAAAGCAGACAGCAGUGUCGUGGCUCCAGUGUCAACAGCAGAGACGCAGAAGGAACUCCAGGAAUCUGAACAACUUCAGAGAUUAUCGACAAUCAAAGCUGAGGAGGUCAGCUGACCGGUGUCCGUCACGGAACCGUGGGCAGGUCAGUUCACCGGACUGUUACCGGGGCAGGAGUCCGAGACCGAGCUGUGGCCGCGGCAACAACAGGAACCGCCGUGGGCCGAGUUGAAGAUUAACGUGUGGUGUUUUUCUACUGUCCUCAGAGGGACGCUAGAUGGCGCCAGAGCGUUUUGGAGGCGGCAGAAAUGGAGCCAGGUUUCAGCCUCGACUUUGGGUAAGUUACCGUCCACACACACACACACAAACACACACUCUCUAUCUCACACACACAUCUAUUUAUUUUAA